rnacentral:lncRNA from 1 species
AGCAGGCCUGAGGGAAGGGUGAAGCAAGGAUGAGUAUCAAAGCCUGGCUCCCUAGCACCUGUGUAAAAGUUGGGCAUGGCAGCCUGCAUCUGUAACCCCAGCACUCAGCAAGCAGAAACAAGUGGGUUCCCAGGGGUUUGCUUGCCAAUCAAAUGAGUUAAAGUGGUUGGGAUCAGUAAGUAUCCCUAGAUGUGUUUGUUAUUCUUAUCGGUGGACACUUAAUUUGCUUCCUUGUGACCCAUUAUGCAAAAAUAGAGUCUGAUUAUAACUUUAGGACACACAAUGCACAGACAGAAAUUGUCAAAAUGAACCAUUAUUAGUGAUGAGGCUUUUGCACUGUGUCUUUGUGAAAACAUUAUGUGACCACGUUUUCUGUUUGGGAGUUGCAGAAAGCUUUCCUUCUGAGCAUAGGAUCAGUAGACAACAUCAGUGAAAUAGUUACAGUUUGGUAGCUAUGCCUAGGAUUUCAUUAGUUAGCCUCUAGGUUUCUCUUAGGGAUCUGUCAAUCAUUGACAUGCAGGCAAUGUUCUGAGCCAGAACCACUGCCCUCAAGGAAUGUGCAGCAGAGUCUUGCUUUCAGGGAAAGGAAGUUGCUGACCUUGCGUCCAAGAUGGCCUCAGCCCUUUGAAUUAGCUUACCAGUGUCAGAGACACAGAAGCCUACUGCCAAAACCAAAAAAAACAAAAAACAAAAAACAAACAAACAAAAAAACCCUGACCCUUUUGCUUUUUGUUUUUGAGGCAGAGUCUUGCUCUGUAGUCCAGAUGACAUGGAAUUUGCUAUGUAGAGCAGGCCAGCCUUGAACUUGUAGUGACCCUCCUGGGUUGACUGUUUGCUCUCUUGAGAUGGUGUCUCCCUGUGGAUCCCUCAUAGACCUGGGAGUAACCAUGUAGCUCAGAGCUAGCUUGUGCAGCUAAGAAUGACCUUGAACUUCUGAUCCUUCUGCCUCUACUUCCUAAGGAAUGCCAAGAUUACAGGUGUGUGCCACCUUGUCUGGUUCCUGUGGUACUGGGUAUUGAGCACAGGGCUUUGGGCACCCUAGGCAAGUACUCUACCAGCUACACCUACAGCCUUCAAUCCCAAUCCUUUUAAUUUUUAAAAAAAAUUUUAUGUACGUAGGUGUUUUGCCCUCAUGAAUUUCUUUAUAUUACAUGUGUGCCUGAUGCUAGUGCCACCAGGAGAGGGUGUUGGAUCCCCUGGAACUGAAGUUACAGAUGAUAGUGAGCCAUUAUGUGGGUGUUGGGACUCAAACCCUGUCAUUCCCAAUUCUUAAAGGACGAUUUUUAAGCCUGGGAGUGAUGAUACACACCUGUAAACCCAGCAGUGAAGUACUGAGCCCACAAGUUCAACACUUAGCCAGGCAACAUAGCAGGAGAGCCAGGUAUGGUGACAUAUGUCUAUAAUCCCAGCACAUGGAGGCUGAAACAGGCAGAGUGUACGUGUGAAGUCAGAAUAAGCUAUAUAGUGAGACCCUGCCUCAGACAAACAAAAGAGAAAUGCUGUUUUAUUACAUGCUGUUUUUCUCAAUUCUCCUCAUAGGUAUAAUCAAAGGAUAUCACUUGCUAUUCCCAAUCUAGGCAAUACUAGCCAGCAAGAGUACAAAGUGUCUUCAGUGCCAAACACGUCUCAGAGUUAUGCCAAGGUCAUUAAAGAGCACGGGUAAGUUGAAAGGUAAACUGGGCUCUUUGGGGAAUGGCAUUGCCUUUGUUGAUAUUUUUCAAAGUGUAAGAAAUGUAAAGUCACAUUUGUUUUAACUGAAGUUGAAGAAAACCAGGUUCUCUAGGCCAUCAUCACUAUCACCACCAUAUAUCAGAAUUUGUUCUUAAUAAACUGUAGAAAUGAUCCCUAAAGCUGAGUGUGGUGACUCACACCUGCAAUCCCAGCACCUGAGAGGCUGAAACUGGAGGUGGUCAUAAGUUCAAGGCCAGCUUACCAAGUAAGACCCUUCCUCAAGACAAAACAACAACAACAACAAAAAACUCAGCAAAACCAGUCUGCUCUGUAGAGCAUGGUAGUGCAUUCUUGUAAUCCUAGCACCAAGAAAGAAGAAGCAGUGGAUUUCUGCUGACUUCCAUGCUAGCCUCUGCUACAUAGUGAAACCUUGUCUC